rnacentral:rRNA from 1 species
CGGCGCGGGAUGGGGUCGCGGCCCAUUAGGUAGACGGCGGGGUAACGGCCCACCGUGCCCGCGAUGGGUAGCCGGACUGAGAGGUCGACCGGCCACAUUGGGACUGAGAUACGGCCCAGACUCCUACGGGAGGCAGCAGUGGGGAAUUUUGCGCAAUGGGGGCAACCCUGACGCAGCAACGCCGCGUGCGGGACGAAGGCCUUCGGGUUGUAAACCGCUUUCAGCAGGGAAGACUUUGACGGUACCUGCAGAAGAAGCUCCGGCUAACUACGUGCCAGCAGCCGCGGUAAUACGUAGGGGGCGAGCGUUAUCCGGAUUCAUUGGGCGUAAAGCGCGCGUAGGCGGCCGCCUAAGCGGAACCUCUAAUCCCGGGGCUCAACCUCGGGCCGGGUUCCGGACUGGGCGGCUCGAGUGCGGUAGAGGCAGGCGGAAUUCCCGGUGUAGCGGUGGAAUGCGCAGAUAUCGGGAAGAACACCGAUGGCGAAGGCAGCCUGCUGGGCCGCCACUGACGCUGAGGCGCGAAAGCUGGGGGAGCGAACAGGAUUAGAUACCCUGGUAGUCCCAGCCGUAAACGAA